GGUUUGGCUCAGUGGCUAGAGCGUCAGCCUGCGGACUGAAGGGUCCCAGAUUCGAUUCUGGUCAAACCU
rnacentral:tRNA from 1 species